rnacentral:tRNA from 1 species
GGAGUAGCCAAGCGGUAAGGCAACGGACUUUGACUCCGUCAUUCGUGGGUUCGAACCCCGCCUC